CCCAAACGGGCGUACCAAGUGAGCAUGAGACACACGUGACAAAACCCUAAAGAUGCACUGAUGUAAAGACACCAGUGGCUAUGGAGCCGAGCUAUCUGCUGCUGUCUAAUGAGGACGGAGAUGAGAAGCACUCAGACUUUGACAACGGGUGUGAAAGGAGCUUGUCUGCAGAGCGGCAGUGUGUGCGUGCACAUGUGGAUUUAACAAUAAUCUCAAGCUUAUCGCCGCUAUCGUGGCUGAGCAAAAGCUCUGUGAACAAAACAAGCCAUCCUGGGUGACGACAGGGACUGCACCCUACUUAACCCUCGUGUCGCCACCUUUCCAGCCCAAUGGUGCACCCUAUUUCAUGUGGAUGGAUUUUUUCCCUGUGUAUCUGGAUGUUUGUUCACAAGAUGGACAGCUACUUUAUUUGUGUUUUCCAGUACAGGACUCUUAAAGAGACAAACAGGAUUCCUGAACAUCAACCAGCGAAAGCAUUGCACUUUGCACAUCUGGAAGAUUAAACUCAAGUGUAGAAAUGGCCUCAUCCCGGCAUACAAGCAGUACUUCAAAGCACUCGUUAGAUGUCUGCAAGAUUGUUUUGCACUGUGAGGCAAACAAAAAUAUAAUUUGGUUGCGUGCACAGUGUACAAUCUGAUAUCUCUUUGUGAGAUAAGGGUGCCCGAGGACACAAGGUGCUAUUUGCUUCUACUGAAUUAGACCUUUUUUAUUAUCCUCCAUAAAAUUGCAAGUUUCUGGAAAUUUUAAUGAUUGAGUGAGCCAUGUCCCCGCAUCAAAAGGCGCUUGGAAUGAGGUCUUACAAGGAAAAUCUAACAACACGGAGAGUGUGAUGGGCUGCAUUGUGCUCCCUGACUGUACCCAUCUCUGCUA